rnacentral:rRNA from 1 species
AUUGAACGCUGGCGGCAUGCCUUACACAUGCAAGUCGAACGGCAGCGGACCUUCGGGUGCCGGCGAGUGGCGAACGGGUGAGUAAUAUAUCGGAACGUACCUUUCAGUGGGGGAUAACGUAGCGAAAGUUACGCUAAUACCGCAUAUUCUGUGAGCAGGAAAGCAGGGGAUCGCAAGUCCUUGCGCUGAUUGAGCGGCCGAUAUCAGAUUAGCUAGUUGGUGAGGUAAAGGCUCACCAAGGCGACGAUCUGUAGCGGGUCUGAGAGGAUGAUCCGCCACACUGGAACUGAGACACGGUCCAGACUCCUACGGGAGGCAGCAGUGGGGAAUUUUGGACAAUGGGCGCAAGCCUGAUCCAGCCAUGCCGCGUGAGUGAAGAAGGCCU